ACUGAGUCGCACCUCUUCUCUUCGAAUUCUCUCUCCCCCUCCAUUUUUAGCUAAACUUCCACUUCUCUUUAGCCAUGGACAGAAAUUGUCCUCCCAUUUCCGUGUAAACCUGCACUACUGAGAGCCUUUUCCAUUCCCUGAUGAAUAUGGACACAUAAAAUCUUCAAAGACUAGAGAAAAUCGGUGCAUUUUGAGCAGGUCUGAAUCAAUCACGUGAAGAAACCUAAAAAAACGUUCGGAUCUGCACGAAUUUUUUGACUCAACUUUGAUUUGUUUUUCUUUGAUUUCAAAUUCCCGCCCAAUGAAAACCCUAGCUGUUUCUACCCCUAUAAAGGCUUGCUUCGAGCUUCGUUUUAAAGGGGUUUUUUUUUUUGGAGAGCCAUUACCUUCAUUUAAAAUUAUUGUUGAAAUCAAACCAAUUUUUUUUUAAGAAAAGGGAGUAUUCUGAAUCUGUCGAGAUUUUGGAUUCGAAAGGUUUUCCAAGUUCGGGUUCGUCGUGUUCGAGCGUAGAUCUAAGACCCCGUACCUAGUUCGCUGCAUCCGAAAAAGACUAGCAAGUUUGGACGAAUAAGCGUAGCUAAUUGGACGUGGGACAGGUACACCCAGAUGAGUAGAAGCCACUAUAGAAGAUGUUCCAGCGGAGUUGGCAAGCUCUAUUUGCUCUAGGAGUAUUGCCGAGUCAGAGUAUUAUGCUACGAUGUUUUGGGUCGAAGUUAGAGACUUUGCAGACAGAGUCGUGGGUAUAGAAUGUCAGUUUUGUGAGCGGCUCCGUCAGCCGAUGUGUCAUUUUGUCUUAUGUUAUAAAUUCCAUAUGAUUACAGCUUUUAUUUGAUUUGAGAAUGAUGAAAAGAAAGUUUCUGAAAGCUUCACUAUGUAUUUCGUUCUUGUUUGACUCAAGGAGUCCAAAGGAUUAUGUAUGUAAUAAGAGUCAGAGGGUUCGCUCGGCCCUAAGGAAAGGUCGGGUGCCCAUCACACCCUAGCGAGAUUAGGGUGUGACAAUUAUAUGCCUAUCACUCGCUCCUCUAUUUUUUGGAAUCAGGAAAA